CCGCCCUUGUGCAUGAGCUGACCGAGUCCGUUUCAAGAUCCCAACGCGGUCUUUUAAGUCCGGGUGGAGGGUUACAGUAGCCGGCUCUCCGACACGUGGUACCGCUCGGGAAACUAAACUUCAGAUAACUAUUAAUCUGCUAUUAAAUCAUCUGCAGCUCAAAGUUUGUUAACUUUCUCAGGAUCUGGGUGAAAGUUCGGCUACCAAAAAUAUCUUCAGUGCUGAGCGGGGAGGAAAUGAACCGAUAGAUUUUGGAGACAGCCGCAAAAACAUUGGAAGCUCGCCUCUUUUUCAAACUUUUUCUCUUUUUAAGCAUAUAUAUUUAUGUAAAACAGAGUGGAGAGGGAGCUUCUGCUGCUGAAUACAGAUCGUGUUAGGUCUGACUGUCGUGUACGUUAGACUUUCCUAAGGCGCUGAAUGUUCCUCAAUGAAAAAAGGGCGAAUUCAGGUUCUUUCACUUUUGUUAACAAAACCACAGCAGCUGAGUGCCCAGUUUAUUCCCGAUGAGUAUUACUGAGGAGACCUAGAGGAACAUGAGUGAGAAGCAAGCGCUAGAAGACACUAAACCAAACGAGGAUCAGAGUGUGUGGAAGGCGGACUCUGACAACCAUGUCAAGCUGGAGGGGGCGACGCCGCGAAGCCCAACGGCGACUCAAGUGAAGGGAACGGCAGCGAAGGGCUGCAAGCUACCCGUCUUUACCACCGACGAUGGGUGAUCGUCUUCCUGUUCAGCUUAUAUUCGCUGAGCAACUCUUACCAAUGGAUACAGUACGGCAUUAUCAGCAACAUUUUCACCAAGUUCUACGGCGUCGAAGCUUUCACCAUAGACUGGAUGUCUAUGAUCUACAUGCUCACAUACAUUCCCUUCAUCUUCCCGGUGACCUGGCUGCUGGACAAAAAAGGGCUCCGGGUCAUCGCCCUCAUCGCCACGGCGCUCAACUGCGCGGGGACGUGGAUCAAAGUGGCCAGCGUGAGACCCAACCUGUUCUCCGUGACAUUCCUGGGACAGUUUUGCUGCUCUUUCGCGCAGGUCUUCAUCCUCGGGAUGCCAUCUAGAAUCGCGUCGGUGUGGUUUGGUUCAGAGGAAGUGUCCACUGCAUGCUCCAUCGGAGUCUUCGGGAAUCAGCUGGGUAUUGCCAUCGGGUUCCUUGUGCCGCCUAUCCUGGUGCCUAAUGUGGACGACAUGGAUGAGCUGGCUCACCACAUCCGAAUCAUGUUCUACAUAACGGCAGGAGUGGCUACUGUACUCUUCGUCCUUGUUGUCUUCGUUUUCCAGGAGCGUCCUAAAAUUCCUCCGACUCAGGCCCAGGCCACAGCUCGUAGCAUUCCACCAGAGCAGUACUCCUACAUAGCCUCCAUCCGAAGCCUGCUGCGGAACAAGCCCUUCAUGCUCCUCGUCAUCACCUAUGGUCUGAACGUUGGUUGUUUUUAUGCUGUCGGGACCCUGCUGAACCGCAUGAUCAUCGUGCACUACCCCGGAGAAGAAGUGAACGCCGGGAGGAUUGGCCUCACCAUCGUCAUCGCGGGGAUGGUCGGCUCCCUCAUCUGCGGCGUUUGGUUGGACAGAACGAAAACGUACAAGCAGACGACCUUUGCAGUCUACCUCUUGUCUCUGGUGGGGAUGAUAGUUUAUGCUGCUACACUCAGCCUGGGACACCUCUGGGUGGUUUUCAUCACCGCUGGAGUACUUGGGUUCUUCAUGACGGGCUACCUGCCACUGGGCUUUGAAUUUGCAGUCGAACUGACCUACCCGGAGUCAGAGGGAACGUCUUCUGGCCUCCUCAACUGCUCAGCACAGGUGUUCGGAAUUAUAUUCACCAUUUGCCAAGGGAAGAUCAUUGACGAUUACGGCACGCUGGCAGGAAACAUCUUCUUGUGCGUCUUUCUUCUGAUAGGCACAAUAAUGACAGCUUUAAUCAAGUCUGAUCUCAGGAGGCAAAAUGCUAACCUGCAGGCCAAAGCAGCCGCGGAGAGGCACAAGUCAGGACAAGACUACGGAGCCACAUCGCUAAUCUCCGAGCAGCAGACUUCUUCUCAAGCCUGAUCAAUAAAACUUUUCUGCUUCCACAAAAAAGAAAUAAAAAAAAAUAAAAAAAAUCUCAAAUCUUAGCUCAUCAUAAAGGUGCACAAAGGAUCCUUCCGACUGGCACAAUGGAAGCCUGAAUGCACCUUCUGUUAUCAUUGAAGCCAAGCUUUAGACACAAACACACUAACAAGCCUCAAAAAUGACCGUGAUCUCAUCCCUGUUAUAGUGCAAAGGAAGCCUUUAGAUCAACUUGACGGCUAAGAAGAGCUCGUUUGAUUUGUAUGAUUACAUGAAUGAAAAUAAUGUCACUAAUCAGAAAUAUUUUUGUAAUAUUUAAAUAUAAAUGUUAUGAGUGAAUCUGCGAGACAAAUCUGAGAAACCUGUGUGCCUCAACAGUUUUAUUGGUAUAGUGCACUGCUGAUUAUGUAUACAAUGAAAAAUCUUUUUUUUUUUCACUGUAUGCAAUA